CUUCUUCACCCACAGCAGCCAUGACUUUAAUCCCCGUCUUCAUCUGGACACUGAUCUUCUGGACCAGAGAAUCCAGAGGUCAAGCCACAGUAACUCAGACUCCUGCAGUGAAAUCUGCUCUUCCAGGAGACACAGUCACCAUCAGCUGUAGGAUCAGCACUGCAGUGUAUCAAGGCUGGGGCUAUCAGCCUUUUUCCUGGUAUCUACAGAAAACUGGAGAAACUCCUAAACUCUUGAUCAAGAAAGCAAAUGAGUUGCAUUCUGGUACUGCAGCUCGUUUCCGUGGCAGCGGAUCUGGAUCUGACUUCACUCUGACCAUCAGUGGAGUCCAGCCUGAAGAUGAUGGAGAUUACUAUUGUGUGAGUGUUCACUGCCCUAAUAUCUGCGUGUUCACACAGUGA